AAGACUUUAUGUUAAAUAAACAAUUAACCUUCAAAGUUAAAAAUGUAAGUAUACUCUUGUAAGUCUUA
rnacentral:tRNA from 1 species